rnacentral:lncRNA from 13 species
UAUUGCAGGAGAAGCCCGCCACUUGGUGUCACCGCCGUACGUAUUCUUUUUCUUUUAAAGAGUUACCGAGACGUAGUGCAUAUGCAAACAAAUUCACUUAUAUAAAGUAGGUGAUUCCGUGCUUUUACUCUAUUUAUAGGGUUGUGCGACCAUUGUUAGAGUCUAAUUUUAGAAGCUGUCUUUCCCCCUCAGAAAACCCGCUUAGUAGUGACUCCUCUGUUCUCCCCCACCCCCCAACCCCCACCCCCCUGGUCCUAGGCAGCCCUAAUCUACUUCCUGUUUCUGUAGUACACUUUCUUGCUGUAUUAACCGGUUCUUCAAAUGACAAUUUCACGUUGAUGAGGUUGUCCUGGCUAGGAAGCCAGGCUCUUUUAUUUCUUUCUGCCCCUCUCCUUUUUCUUCCUUCAGCACCCAGGAGAAUGGUCCAGCAGCAGCUGGGUCCGUGCUUGUCAAACGCCCCGCUCCAUACCCUCCAGCCCGGUCCACAUUUCCCAAAGAUCCUGGUGAGAUUCCUGAGCAGCACCAAUGCACUGUCACUCUGUGUUCUCUUAGGUCCCGUUGAGGUCCCGCAGGACCUCAUACUAGAAGACAUUGAGGAUGAUGAGCUAACCCGUGACGAGGAGAAGCCUGCCUCCCACUAUCACCGCCGUACGUAUUCUUUUUCUUUUAAAUAGUUACCCAGACCUAGUGCAUAUGCAAACAAAUUCACUCAUUUAAAAUAGGGGAUUUCGUGUUUUUUCUCUAUUUAUAGGGUUGUGCAACCAUUGUUAGAAUCUAAUUUUAGGAGCUGUUUUUCCCUUUCAGAAAACCCGCUUAGUAGUGACUCCUCUGUUCUCCCCAACCCCCCACACCCCAGGUUCUAGGCAGCCCUAAUUUACUUCCUGUUUCUGUAGUACACUUUCUUGCUGUAUCAACCGGUUCUUCAAAUGACGAUUUCACGUUGAUGAGGUUGCCCUGGCUAGGAAGCCAGGCUCUUUCAUUUCUUUCUGCCCCUCUCCUUUUCCUUCCUUCAGCAACAAGGAGAAUGGUCUAGCAGCAGCUGGGUCCGUUCUUGUCAAACGCCCCGCUCCAUACCCUCCAGCCCGGUCCACAUUUCCCAAAGCUCCUGGUGAGAUUCCUGAGCAGCACCAAUGCACUGACUGUCACUCUGUGUUCUCUUAGGUCCCAUUGAGGUCCGGCAGGACCUCAUACUAGAAGACAUUGAGGAUGAUGAGCUACCCCAUGACGAUGUAAGAUGCAU